rnacentral:misc_RNA from 1 species
GCAAAAUACAUCUAUUUAUAAGAAGGGCUCAAAAACACAGGUGAAAGGCUCAGUUAGUUGAUUUAGCAUUUUCAUAAAACAUGCCAUAAGCUUAAAUUUCAAGAAUAUCAUUUUAACUGAGAUCACAUCUGAAAAGCCUUCAAUCAAGUGAAUAAGGAACAUUUGUUUUCAAGUUUAACGGUCUAAUCUGUCUGGUGAAAAUGGAAGAAUAGCAUAUGGGAUCUAAACAACAGCAUCUAACAUGCAACCGAAACCAAUUAAGGGAUCCGCAACCUCAGUUGUCUGCCUCGUGAAAAUGUCUUUAAGCUUCCACAUCUCAUUGUCAUGUCUGAUCGUUUAGCCGAGAACUUUCAGCAGCUAGCAAGACUAAUUGCUCCACAAAACAGAAGGCAAAAGAAGGUCCACUUUAGGAAUGAUCACCGGAUCAAUUGUCACCUAAACCAAUUUCCAAUAAAACCAACAAUUGGUAGAUCUAAUGGUGUAAAAGAUUGGGAGACUUUUGUCUAAAAAGCCCAUGUGUUGAGAGAGAGUUGUUGGACAGCAGAAAGUUGCAGAGUAAAAUUUACUUGUUUCAGGCUUAUUCCACUUCAGAACAGGUAGGGAAAAGAGAGGAGGAAAAGAAUAGCAGUAAUAUAAUAGAAAACCAACCCCAGUAUCUUUGAACGAAAGGAUCAGCACCAAUUAAACAACAUUUGCGCAUAGUAUUGUACCUGAUUCAUUGUCAUGUAUAUUGCCACAUUUAAGACCUCAUGAAAAUACAGCAUUAACAAAGGCCUCAGCGUCAAAGGGUUGCAGAUCUUCAACACCUUCUCCAACACCUACAAACUUUACAGGGAUGCCAAGCUCAUCUACAACACUGACCUGCAAGAGCAAAUUAGAGUCUCACUAAUUGACAAAUCUCAAAAAAGGAAAACAUCACUGAAACCGGAGCAUACCACACAGCCACCUCUAGCAGAACCAUCAAGUUUAGUCAAAAUCAAACCAGUUAUUCCAACCACCUGUCAUGAAAAAUUGCAAGUCAAAAGACUAUGCAGGAUGUCUUACACCUAUGGCAAGAGUUAGGUGUCAAACCAAGCUAAGCAGGGCAAUAUUACAUCAAUGGAAGGAUAAAAGAAAAUUUGACAGGAUAUAAAAGAAGGCAUUACAACAUCAAAUGAGACAUUCUACGCAAGCAAUAAAUUAUCAAUUGCUACCAUGGUUUCCUGGUUUUUGAUAAUGUUAAAAUUACAGAAUGAUUAUUUUUUCAUCUUUUCAGAUAGGCUUGAAAAUAUUUAAAGUUAUUCUGUUAGGACAACCUUACCAACAGAGGCAAGUUUGACAAAGCAUGAAACAAGCAUAAUCUGUAAGGAGGUGAUUGUGUCAUCAACUAAAUAACCAUAACAAACUUUCAUCACAUGACCUCCGGCAUGCAUAUAUUCACAAGUCUCACUGGCUUAUAUAACAGAUAAUUACAAAUGGGACAAUAAGUUGUUCUUCACAUAAGUAGCAAGCUAUCUUUUUUGGGGCAAAGGAUGGGAAUAUUACUUCAUUAAACUCUCUUGCUUGUGGAAGCAUAUUCAAACCAGUGUUCCCAUCUAGCACUAGAAGGAUCUCCUGCAAAUUAAAUUAGAUAUUUGGGAUACCAAACAGAGAAACAACUAUUCAACUUAUUCAAAUGCAUUCUCGUAAUCAAAGAUCAAAACUAUAUUUACUGUCUCUAAAAUCAAGAUGGAAACAGAAUUGCUAGACAGCAGAAGAUUCAUAGAAAGAUUAUAAUUGCACCUAAAAUUUAAUAAUAUUAGCGACUUGUAUAUUACCUGCAAAAAGUACUAUUGGAGAUAAAAAGCCAACAAUACAGAAGAAGAAAAUUGGAAUACAAUAUUCUACAAUCUGCUCAAACCUAUUGAAUUCUACAGGAGAUAUUUAAAUGCUUCAAGGAUCAUAAUGAUGUUGAAGGCUUCAAAUAGUUGAGUAGAGCUUACAUUAGGUGCACCAGGAACAACUUUGCCAACAGCUUUCUUACAUGCUAUCAACUCUUCCAUCAGGCUGUAGUUAGUGUGAAGACCUGAAAAAAUAGGUACAACUUUUUUUUUUCUGGAGUAAAACUGAAUGGAAAGCUCAUAAAACUAAUGACGGCAGACCAUCAAAGCUUCACAUGCUUACGUCCUGAUGUAUCACACAAUACAACAUCAAAGCCUUGUUCUUUCCCUCUUUUUACAGCCUGUGAAAGAACUGAUGAUGCUUUGAUCUUCUCCUUCUCAGCCACAACAAUAUCACAUCCAGUUCUUUCAGCCCAUAUCUCCAGCUGAUCACUGGCAGCUGCCCUAAAUGUAUCACCUGCUGCCAUUAAUAU